UGUCCUUCGAGGCCAGCGUGGCCCUGCUGGAGGCUUCGCUGAGGAACGACGCCGAGGAAGGAAUGAAUGGAGGAUCCAUGAUGUAACCAUAGCCCCCUUCCCUGGGCUUGUUCGGAGGCGGUCUCGCCUGCUCAUUGUGAGCCAAGUACGCUACUUCCUGAAGAAUAAGGUCAGCCCUGAUUUGUGCAAUGAGGACGGACUCACAGCCCUACACCAGUGCUGCAUCGACAACUUUGAGGAAAUUGUGAAGCUGCUCCUCUCCCAUGGUGCCAAUGUGAACGCCAAGGACAACGAGCUGU
rnacentral:sRNA from 1 species